CGGCCCACAAGCCUGCAGGCGCCAGUUCAUUCUUGUUCAAAGCACCCCAGGAGCUACUAUCGCCCGAAGAUGUCACAGGUGGUCAUGAUUCUUUGAGGCAGCGGAAUUUCACCGCAGUGCAUCUUUAACACCUUCAGUUUCUUUUCUACUGCAAGCCUGGUACUACAGCUUGUGGCCCGUGUAGAAGAAUAGAGGGGUGAAACCAAGGCUCAAGUGACUGUGGACUCAUGGCCCUCAGACAGCUAGAGCACCAGACCAGGCACAGACCAGAGCCAUUUAUGCUCCACUUCUAGAGGACAUGUUGCAGUUUGAAACUACCAAGACUCAUGGAAGCUGCUGACAGGAGGCUGUUGAAGCCGUGGUCGCAAGGCACCCAUGACAUUGAAGUCUUCCAAACAAGGCACUAUGAAGGCAUGACUUGUAGCGGCACUGGAGCAAGCGACACGGUCCGGGUGAGCCGCAAGUGUAACUGUUACACUGUAAACAGGAAAUAUAGACAUGUGUCCGACAAAGCACAGACUCAUAAAACUUUCGUGUAGCAAUAAUAGUUUAAUUUAACUAAACAGUGCAUCAACAGAGCCUGACCCAAGAAUGGGGAAUUGGGGAACCGGCCAAUGUGUAGAGUCUAACAGAAACAAGGAAGGCGAUAAAAACAAAUGGGGCAACAUGUUAAGAUAGGACAAUAAUGUCGUGCCUAUUUUUUGUUUUCAAUUAAGAUUUUAUAGGAGCUAGCAAAAUAUGUCCUUGCAAUGGAAUAGACCUACUUUUACAAAAAGACCUUCAAUGUUUUUGUUAAAAUAAAUUGCGUCUGAGGAGGUGGAAAUAUGAUUUUCCCAAUUGCGCAUUAACAUAUCUUCGAGCUCCACAGGGUAAUAAAACUUCCCGAAACGUAAAUAUUUUUAUGCAUGCUCAGAAGUUUUUUUAAAUAUAGAAAAAGUCAAACAAUUUUUUUGUGAGAAUUCAAAGAUAUUGUCAUCCUCAAUUUUUUUUUUUCAUUUUCGUUAUUGAACACUUAGAAACAUGUAAUUCAGAAUCCACCACCAAGACCUGUUGUAUUCUAUUGUCUUAAAAUAAAGAAAUAACGGUUUUGCCGA
rnacentral:lncRNA from 1 species